AGUCCUGAAUGUCAAGAAAAGAGGGGAGAGUGGCUGACUGGUUGUUUUAUCUUUGUUAAUAGUGCCAUGGAAAAUUGUCGGAAUGGUAAUAAUGUUUGUGCUAGUGAUAAGGUCAUAUUAGAGGCAUUUCUGAGCAGGAAAAUAUCUUGUAUGUAGCUCCGAGAAACUGUAAAACUCAUGGGAGGAUGCAUUUUGUUUGUGAAGGCAUCUUUGAGUCUGAACCUAAGCCUGGAUUUAUGGUUUAGGUACUAGAAAAAAAACAAAGGUUUUCUGAGGAGAGAGAAAUGAAGUUGGUGAACUUUUUAUCUGCGGUUGAAGAGCUGGUACGAGGCUUCAGAAUUCCUGUAUGUGGAAAGACUUCAGUGUCAAAAGUCAGCUUGGCUCCACAGUCAUUAGGAGAAGAAAACAGGUGUUGAUGAGUGGCUGUUAUGGGAAGUACUUUGUUUUGCAAUGCUCAGCUCUAAUGAGACAUAUGGCAUUUUAGAGUUUUGAUCAGAAACAGUCUUUCUGAGGUGGAUGCUGAGUAUACACCGGACUGGAGGAUUUAGGCUGUUAUGUGGGAAUGCAGAUAAGGUGCUACAGCAGAGCUGGGCAUAAGGAAAAUAUCUUUGUGGCUUGAUUUUUAAAUCUUGUUUUAGUACUGUAAAAGAAUAUUUUAAUGUCUCUGCAUAAUUUUUAAGUCUUUUAUAAGUUGCUGGAGCCUGUCCCAGUGUUGUUGAUGCUUGUUAUUAUCUGUAUAGAUGACUCUUUAUCCAGUUUCCUUGAGUGGGUUUUCAGUGUGUUUAAUACACAUGGUUACAGUUACUGCCUUCUCAUAACAUGUUGGUAGAUGCAUCUUAAAGUAUCAGUUGGACAGCACUAUUACCUAGUGAAGCUCAACAGAUUUGAGCAAGAAAAACAUUAUUUCUUGUAUAAUGAAUGACUGCUACCUAAGAAGGAAACUGGUAUGGUAAAGGAAAUACUUGCCUCAAAGUGAAGUAUAACAUUCAAAUGUUAUAUAUUGGAAUAUUGUGUUACCAAGAGAGCUGAAGAUUCAAGUCCUAUUAAAUUGCAUUUCAGUAUGGAUGAUUUUCACUAAUAUUCAAUGCAACUAUAAAUUCGUAUCCUUGUCCUGAUACAUGAAAGUUAUGCAAGAUAAAUCUUCGGUACUUGACAGGAUGCAUAUAACAUUAAAUAAAUAAAUAAAAUUUCAAACAGCUGAAUUAUCUUAAAAUUACUGCUAAAAAUGCUUUCUACGUUUGUUCUUAAAACAACCUUCUCUCCUCCAGAAUAACAUGCCUACAGUAGUUAAUUUUUAAGGAAGCUAGAUUUAAGAUGUAUUAAAAACAUUAAUUAGUAGUGUUCUAAUCUGUUCUGACUUUCAUAGUUUUUUGUUUUUUUUUUUAAUAAAUACAACAUUUU
ensembl:lncRNA